UGCACCAGCAGAUGAGCCCUUUAAAGGGAUUGCAUCAGGCUGAUGACUCACUGGGGCCCUCUGAGAGCCUGGCUUCCCUCCGCUGGCAUGCAGAAGCAGCUAGAAGGGCGCCGUGGUGGCAGUACCCGCGAUCAUGGACCCACUCCUUUGUCUCCGAGCGUCAUAUUACAGCUAUGAGAGCUUGUGAUCAGGAAGAGGAAGCCAGUGGCCCAUCAUGCUGUUGGUAGAAUUCCAGCCUGAAGCAGAGUUUCCUGUGACUUGAAUUUGUCUCCAUGGAUGUAAACCAGAGUGACAAACCUGGUGGAAGAGGAUGAGGGGAUCUGAUCCUGUUUAGACUUAGGUAUCUUCAGGAUCUGAUUGCGAUGCUAAAAUUUGUUUCUUGCCUACCGAGAUCUGGAUGUAAGGAAAAAAGUGAGUUAAUCUUGCAUGGCAUGACUUAAGGGCUAAAUACAUUUCCUCCCUUUCU